rnacentral:rRNA from 1 species
UAGUCCGUACGAGCGCACCCUUGUCCCUAGUUGCCAGCACUUCGGGUGGGAACUCUAGGGAGACUGCCGGUGAUAAACCGGAGGAAGGUGGGGAUGACGUCAAGUCAUCAUGGCCCUUAUGGGGAGGGCUACACACGUGCUACAAUGGCCGGUACAGAGGGCUGCGAAGCCGCGAGGCGGAGCGAAUCUCAGAAAACCGGUCGUAGUCCGGAUUGCAGUCCGCAACACGACUGCAUGAAGCCGGAAUCGCUAGUAAUCGCGGAUCAGAACGCCGCGGUGAAUACGUUCCCGGGCCUUGUACACACCGCCCGUCACACCAUGGGAGUGGGCUGUACCAGAAGUAGGUAGUCUAACCUUCGGGAGGACGCUUACCACGGUGUGGUUCAUGACUGGGGUGAAGUCGUAACAAGGUAGCCCUAGGGGAACCUGGGGCUGGAUCACCUCCUUU